AGCAGCCGCGGUAAUUCCAGCUCCAAUAGCGUAUAUUAAAGUUGUUGCAGUUAAAAGCUCGUAGUUGAAUUUCGGGAUUGACGUGAUGGUCGUGCCUUACGGGGUAUGAACUGUUGCUGUUGAUUUCUCACCUUCUGGAGAAACUUGAUGUCCUUAAUUGGGUGUCUUGCGGAUCCAGGACCUUUACCUUGAAAAAAUUAGAGUGUUUAAAGCAGGCAUUUUGCUCGAAUACAUUAGCAUGGAAUAAUAGAAUAGGACGGCAUGGUUCUAUUUUGUUGGUUUCUAGGAUCACCGUAAUGAUUAAUAGGGAUAGUUGGGGGCAUUAGUAUUCAAUUGUCAGAGGUGAAAUUCUUGGAUUUAUUGAAGACUAACUACUGCGAAAGCAUUUGCCAAGGAUGUUUUCAUUAAUCAAGAACGAAAGUUAGGGAUCGAAGACGAUCAGAUACCGUCGUAGUCUUAACCAUAAACUAUGCCGACUAGGAAUCAGACGAUGUUAAUUUUUAAUGACUUCG
rnacentral:misc_RNA from 1 species